rnacentral:rRNA from 1 species
UGAUGACGUCGGUGGAGGAGCGUGUGUAAUACGAGGGUGGGGAAGGGUGGUCGGAGUGAACGGGCGUGAAGUGUGAUGAGGCGGCCCUAGUUGUUAGGGGUGCAAGCCCCGUGGUGAACCUUGGAGGUGCGUUUGAUACGGUGUUGCUAUAGUUCGGGAGAGGAGAGUGGAAUUCCCAGUGUAGAGGUGAAAUUCGUAGAUAUUGGGAAGAACACCGGUGGCGAAGGCGGCUCUCUGGACCGAGACUGACGCUGAGGCGCGAAAGCGUGGGGAGCAAACAGGAUUAGAUACCCUAGUAGUC